GUCGCCAUAGUUCUUCAGCAGAGCAGUCUUGGGUGUUUGGUAAAUCCAACGGUGAGAUCUUCUCUUAUUGAGCUGAAAUUUGGCAGAGGUAUUGUCGACUUGUUUAUCUUGGAUUUGUACGGUUGGAUUAGUUUCUGGAAGCCGGAAUAUUUGUGAGCUGAGGUCGUUUGGUUGCUGCCGGUUUUGAAGCUUUGUGUUGCUCUCUUGUUGUUGUUGUUUGUGUUGGAGAUAGCUCUUUGUAGCUAGAUUCUCUGUUCUGUUCAGGCUGUUGAACAGGGAGGACGUGGUUGUACUCAUACCAUUUAUAUAGUGGAUUUUUGAGUGGACUACGGUCCCGUGGUUUUUCCUUCUCCCAUCGAGGAGGUUUUUCACGUAAAAAUUGUGUGUCUCAUUUAGUUAUCGCAACUUUGAUAUCUUGCCAUCGUCGAAGUAUUUUCCUCACAGGUUCGCACAAGGUCAGGGGAACACGACCAUUAGUAUUUCCUCUGCGCCGUGUGGCUUUCCCCAAUAGAGUGGUAUCAGAGCUUCUGGUUUUAGAGCUUUGGUUUUGAUAACUUUGGGUUGUUAUUUGCUUGUGUGAAAGAUAGAAAAUAUGAGCAGGAUGAUAAGCUUGAAUGGUGCUAACUAUCAUCUAUGGAAGGGCAAGAUGGAGGAUUUGCUCUUUGUUAAAGAAUUUCAUGUUCCAGUCUUCGAGGAGCAGAAACCUGAGAAGAAGACGGAUGAAGAGUGGAAGCUGCAGCAUCGCCAAGUGUGUGGGUUGAUAAGGCAGUGGGUAGAUGAUAAUGUGUUGCAUCAUAUUGAGACUGAGACGGAUGCUCGUUCUUUGUGGAAGAAGCUGGAGCAGUUAUAUGCUAGGAAGACCGGAAACAACAAGAUGUACAUGAUCAAGAAGUUGAUUGAGCUGAGGUAUCAGGAGGGGACUCCGAUGACAGAUCACUUGAAUGCGUUUCAGGGAUUGCUCAACAAGUUGUCUGAUAUGGGCAUCAAGUUUGAUGAUGAGAUUCACGGUCUGUGGCUUCUCGGUACUUUACCGGACUCUUGGGAGGUUUUCAGGAUGUCUCUUUGUAACUCCGCGUCGGAAGGUGUUAUUUCGAUGGAUUCAGUGAAGAACAGUGUUCUUAAUGAGGAAGCAAGAAGGCAGUCGAAUGCUAGCAGUUCGCGUUCAGAUGUCUUUGUUACUGAGUCAAGGGGGAGAAGUACAAGUAGAGAUCCCAAGAGAGACAAGAACAGGAGCAGGAGCAAGUCUAAUAGAUUUGCUAAUAUGGAGUGCUACUUCUGUCAUAAGAAAGGGCACAUGAAGAAGGAUUGCUGGAAGUUGAAAAACAAGCAGCAAGGAAAUCAAGAAGAAAAGGUGGAUCGGGUGACUCUCACCGAAGAUCAGUUUCUCAUUCUUCUUGAGGGUGAUGCCAUUAAUGUCGCAUGCCAGGACACCAGUUGGGUGAUUGACAGUGGAGCUACUACUCAUGCUACAUCACAGCGGGAUCUGUUUUCUACCUACACUACGGGUAAUUAUGGUUCUGUGAAGAUGGGGAAUGAUGCGAUGGCUCAGGUUGCUGGCAUUGGUGAUGUUUGCUUGGAGACUAGUCUUGGUACUAGGCUGGUGCUUAAGGAUGUUAAGCAUGUUCCUGAUAUUAGGAUGAAUCUGAUAUCGACGGGAAGACUUGAUGAUGAGGGCUAUUUCAGUUUGCACGGUGGUGGUAAAUGGAAGCUCUCUCGCGGUUCUUUGAUUGUGGCUCGAGGUGAGAAGUCUUCAUCUUUCUAUUGGAUGCAGGCUAAGGUCUCCAAAGAUGUUGUUAAUGCGGUGGAGAAUGAUAAUGCCAUGGAGUUAUGGCAUAAGAGACUCGGUCACAUGAGUGAGAAGGGAAUGGCUGUGUUGUCUAAGAAUGAGGUGAUUCCAGGAAUCUCUGGUUUGCACCUACAGAAGUGUUCGCAUUGCUUUGCGGGAAAACAACACAGGGUAUCUUUCAAGUCUUCCGCACCUUCUAGGAAACCCGAGGUACUGGAUUUGGUACACUCAGAUGUGUGUGGUCCAAUGAAGACAAGAUCUCUUGGUGGCGCAUCAUAUUAUGUGACUUUUAUUGAUGAUCAUUCAAGGAAGUCGUGGGUAUUUCCUAUGAGGACGAAGGAUCAGGUGCUGGGAUAUUUCAAGCACUUUGUGGCAUUGGUUGAGAGACAAACGGGGAAGAAGCUGAAGUGUAUCCGCAGUGAUAAUGGUGGAGAGUAUCUUGGACCAUUUGAUGCUUAUUGCAAAGAGCAUGGAAUAAGGCAUCAGUUCACGCCACCUCAUACUCCACAGUUGAAUGGGUUGGCUGAAAGGAUGAAUCGGACGAUUGUCGAGAGGAUGAGAUGUUUGAUCUCACAGUCAGGCUUAUCGAUGACUUUCUGGGCAGAAGCUUUGAACACGGUGGUUCAUGUGCUGAAUUUGUCACCAAGUGCUCCAUUGGAUGGUGAUGUUCCAGAGAGGGUUUGGACUGGUAAGGAUGUUUCUUACAGUCACUUGAGGGUCUUUGGGUGUAAGGCAUUUGUUCAUAUUCCCAAGGUUGAUAGAUCGAAGCUUGAGAUGAAGUCGCGGCAGUGUGUGUUCAUCGGUUAUGGUCAUGAUGAGUUCGGGUACAGAUUUUAUGAUCCCGUUGAGAGGAAGCUCGUAAGGAGCAGAGAUGUUGUGUUUAUGGAAGAUCAAACGAUUAAGGACAUUGACAAGUCCAAAAAGCCAACUCAGAUUUUUGAGGGUUUGAUCGAUACAGAGGCUACUCCUUCUACAUCGGUUCACGGUGAGGUUGAGGUUGAGGUUCAGGAUAAUACACCCAGUGCAGAUGCUCCCGCACAUGAAGAUGGUAGUGGUGAUCAUGGUGACGAUCAUGGUGAGACACCAGCUGCUGAGAACCAACCUACUAUUGUUAGAAGAUCCGAGAGAGGUCUUAAACCGUCGACAAGGUAUGAUCCUAGUGAGUAUGUAUUACUUACUGAUGGGGGAGAGCCUGAAAGCUAUGAUGAAGCUUUGGAGGAUGAACACAAGGAUAAGUGGUUUGGAGCCAUGGAUGAGGAGAUGGAUUCUUUUGAGGAGAACCAUACUUUUGAGUUGGUGGAAUUGCCUAAGGGCAAGAAGGCUCUGCUUAAUAAGUGGGUGUACAGAAUUAAGCAUGAGGAUGAUAAUUUGCCACCUCGACACAAGGCUAGAUUGGUUGUGAAAGGCUACAGCCAAAAGAAGGGAAUUGAUUAUGAUGAAAUCUUUUCUCCUGUUGUGAAGAUGUCAUCCAUUCGGGUUGUACUUGGAUUGGCAGCGAGCCUUGAUCUAGAGGUUGAGCAAAUGGACGUGAAGACUGCUUUCCUUCAUGGUGAUUUGGAGGAAGAGAUCUACAUGGAACAACCGGAAGGCUAUGUGCAAAAGGGCAAAGAAAAUUUGGUUUGCCGCUUGAAGAAAAGCCUUUAUGGAUUGAAGCAAGCACCAAGGCAGUGGUACAUGAAGUUCAAGUCUGUUAUGGGGGAGCAUGGUUAUGAAGAGACUGAUUCAGACCAUUGUGUAUUUGUGAAGGUGUUCGGUAAGGAUGAUUUUAUCAUCUUGUUGUUGUAUGUCGAUGAUAUGUUGAUUGUGGGCAGGAACAUGGACAAAAUUAAGGAGUUGAAAGAGCAGCUCAGUGAGUCCUUUGCCAUGAAAGAUAUGGGUCCAGCAAAACAGAUUCUCGGUAUGAGAAUUGUUCGGGAUAGAGGUGAGAAGUUGAUUCACUUAUCUCAGGAGAAGUACAUUGAAAAAGUACUUAAGCGGUUUCACAUGGACAAGUCUAAAGUGUUGAGUACUCCUCUUGCUCCACACUUAAGACUGAGCAGUCAACAAAGUCCGAAGACAUAUGCGGAGAAGGAAGAUAUGGCGAAGGUUCCAUAUGCUUCUGCAGUGGGUAGUUUGAUGUAUGCCAUGGUCUGUACAAGACCAGAUUUAGCCUACGCCGUUGGAGUUGUCAGCAGGUUUCUCUCCAAUCCGGGAAGAGAACAUUGGAAUGCUGUGAAGUGGAUUUUGAGAUAUCUCCGAGGGACUUCUGAUUUGAAGAUUACAUUUGGGGGUAAGAAGCCUUUUCUGGUCAGUUUCACUGAUUCUGACAUGUCUGGAGAUGCUGAUUCUAGCAAGUCUACUUCGGGUUACUUGGUAACAUUUGCGGGUGGAACUGUGGCAUGGCAGUCAAGGCUGCAAAAGUGUGUUGCACUAUUUACCACUGAGGCAGAGUUCAUUGCCGCAACUGAAGCUUGUAAAGAGUUGUUGUGGAUGAAGAACUUCUGUGAAGAGAUCGGUUUCAAGCAAGAAAAGUAUGUGUUGCUUUGUGAUAGUCAAAGCGCUAUUUGUCUCGGGAAGAAUUCUACAUUUCAUUCGAAGUCAAAACACAUUCAGAGGAGGUAUCAUUGGAUACGUGAUGUUCAACGGUUGGAUCUUCUGUUGUCUGGGUUUUCUUGAAGCUGGUCGCCAUAGUUCUUCAGCAGAGCAGUCUUGGGUGUUUGGUAAAUACCACGGUGAGAUCUUCUCUUAUUGAGCUGAAAUUUGGCAGAGGUAUUGUCGACUUGUUUAUCUUGGAUUUGUACGGUUGGAUUAGUUUCUGGAAGCCGGAAUAUUUGUGAGCUGAGGUCGUUUGGUUGCUGCCGGUUUUGAAGCUUUGUGUUGCUCUCUUGUUGUUGUUGUUUGUGUUGGAGAUAGCUCUUUGUAGCUAGAUUCUCUGUUCUGUUCAGG
rnacentral:lncRNA from 1 species